AGGGCUUCGGCUCGUAAACCCCUGUCAGUUGCGAACAAUGUGCACUCAAUAACACUGGGUGCGCUGAUAGUAGUGACAGAGGAAGGGACGGCUAACUCUGUGCCAGCAGCCGCGGUAAUACAGAGGUCCCGAGCGUUGUUCGGAUUCACUGGGCGUAAAGGGUGCGUAGGCGGCUUAGCGAGUCUGAUGUGAAAUCUCCGGGCCCAACCCGGAAAUGGCAUUAGAAACUGCUGGGCUAGAGGCUUGGAGGGGGAACUGGAAUGCUCGGUGUAGCAGUGAAAUGCGUAGAGAUCGAGCGGAACACCAGUGGCGAAGGCGAGUUCCUGGACAAGACCUGACACUGAGGCACGAAAGCCGGGGGAGCAAACAGGAUUAGAUACCCUGGUAGUCCCGGCUGUAAACGGUGCACGUUUGCUGUGAGAGGAAUCGACCCCUUUCGUGGCGGAGCUAACGCGAUAAACGUGCCGCCUGGGGAGUACGGUCGCAAGAUUAAAACUCAAAGAAAUUGACGGGGGCCUGCACAAGCGGUGGAGUAUGUGGCUCAAUUCGAUGCAACGCGAAGAACCUUACCUGGCCUUGACAUGUCGCGAACCCUGCAGAGAUGCGGGGGUGCCUUCGGGAACGCGAACACAGGUGCUGCAUGGCUGUCGUCAGCUCGUGUCGUGAGAUGUUGGGUUAAGUCCCGCAACGAGCGCAACCCUUGU
rnacentral:rRNA from 1 species